GAUCAAGUGAAUAAGUGCAUAUGAUGGAUGCCUUGGCGAUUACAGGCGAUGAAAGACGUGGUAGCCUGCGAAAAGCGGCGGGGAGCUGGCAAACAAGCUUUGAUCCGCUGAUGUCUGAAUGGGGAAACCCACCGUAGCAAUACGGUAUCUCACACUGAAUACAUAGGUGUGUAGAGGCAAACCGAGUGAACUGAACCAUCUCAGUAACUCGAGGAAAAGAAAUCAACCGAGAUUCCGGAAGUAGUGGCGAGCGAAACCGGAGCAGCCUGGACGUUUUAGCAAUAUAGAUAGUCGAAGGAGAUGGAAAGCUCCGCCGCAGCAGGUGAUAGCCCUGUAGGCGAAAUCUUUAUUGUGGAACUAAGCGUCGAACAAGUAGGGCGGGACACGUGAAAUCCUGUCUGAAUAUGGGGGGACCAUCCUCCAAGGCUAAAUACUCGUAAUCGACCGAUAGUGAACCAGUACCGUGAGGGAAAGGCGAAAAGAACCCCGGAAGGGGAGUGAAAUAGAUCCUGAAAUCAUAUGCAUACAAACAGUAGGAGCACCUUCGUGGUGUGACUGCGUACCUUUUGUAUAAUGGGUCAGCGACUUACAUUCAGUGGCAAGCUUAACCGAAUAGGGGAGGCGUAGCGAAAGCGAGUCCGAAUAGGGCGAUUCAGUCGCUGGGUGUAGACCCGAAACCAGGCGAUCUAUCCAUGGCCAGGUUGAAGGCACGGUAACACGUGCUGGAGGACCGAACCCACUAAUGUUGAAAAAUUAGGGGAUGAGCUGUGGAUUGGAGUGAAAGGCUAAACAAGCCUGGAGAUAGCUGGUUCUCUCCGAAAACUAUUUAGGUAGUGCCUCACGUAUUACUGUCGGGGGUAGAGCACUGUUAUGGCUAGGGGGUCACAGCGACUUACCAAACCAUGGCAAACUCCGAAUACCGACAAGUACAGCGUGGGAGACAGAGCACCGGGUGCUAACGUCCGGACUCAAGAGGGAAACAACCCAGACCGCCAGCUAAGGUCCCUAACUAUGGCUAAGUGGGAAACGAAGUGGGAAGGCAUAGACAGUCAGGAGGUUGGCUUAGAAGCAGCCACCCUUUAAAGAAAGCGUAAUAGCUCACUGAUCGAGUCGUCCUGCGCGGAAGAUGUAACGGGGCUAAGCCAUAGACCGAAGCUGCGGAUAUGUGCGCUCUUUUAAGCGUACUAAUAUCACCACGCCUUAGGCAAACCGCUAGGUUUAACCAAGCGUGUUCCCUUGAUUGUGGGAAGUAAUUAGUAUAUUUAAAUGAGCGCACAUAUGGUAGGAGAGCGUUCCGUAAGCCUGUGAAGGUGUCCUGUAAGGGAUGCUGGAGGUAUCGGAAGUGAGAAUGCUGACAUGAGUAGCGAUAAAGGGGGUGAAAAGCCCCCUCGCCGUAAGUCCAAGGUUUCCUGCGCAACGUUCAUCGGCGCAGGGUGAGUCGGCCCCUAAGGCGAGGCAGAGAUGCGUAGCUGAUGGGAAGCGGGUUAAUAUUCCCGCACCGUCGUACAGUGCGAUGGGGGGACGGAUUGCGGAAGGUUUACGGGGUGUUGGAUGUCCCCGGUGGCGCGUCGUAGAAGGCACUUAGGCAAAUCCGGGUGCGUAAUUCAAGGGCGUGACUGAAUAGAACUACGGUUCUAAACUAACUGAAAGCAGUUCCAAGAAAAGCCUCUAAGCUUCAGCUGUACGAGACCGUACCGCAAACCGACACAGGUGGACGGGAUGAAUAUUCCAAGGCGCUUGAGAGAACUCAGGAGAAGGAACUCGGCAAAUUAAUACCGUAACUUCGGGAGAAGGUAUGCCCCGGUAGUGUGAAGAGCCUGCGCUCGGAGCACGAAAGGGCCGCAGUGAAUCGGUGGCUGCGACUGUUUAUUAAAAACAUAGCACUCUGCAAACACGAAAGUGGACGUAUAGGGUGUGACGCCUGCCCGGUGCCGGAAGGUUAAGUGAUGGGGUGCAAGCUCUUGAUCGAAGCCCCGGUAAACGGCGGCCGUAACUAUAACGGUCCUAAGGUAGCGAAAUUCCUUGUCGGGUAAGUUCCGACCUGCACGAAUGGCGUAACGAUGGCCACACUGUCUCCUCCUGAGACUCAGCGAAGUUGACAUGGUUGUGAUGAUGCAAUCUCCCCGCGGCUAGACGGAAAGACCCCAUGAACCUUUACUGUAGCUUUGCAUUGGAUUGUGAACCGGCCUGUGUAGGAUAGGUGGGAGACGUUGAAGCGUGGUCGCCAGAUCGCGUGGAGUCAUCCUUGAAAUACCACCCUGGUCUGUUUGCGAUUCUAACCUAGGUCCAUUAUCUGGAUCGGGGACCGUGCAUGGUGGGCAGUUUGACUGGGGCGGUCUCCUCCUAAAGUGUAACGGAGGAGUUCGAAGGUACGCUAGGAACGGUCGGAAAUCGUUCUGAUAGUGCAAUGGCAAAAGCGUGCUUAACUGUGAGACUGACAAGUCGAACAGAUACGAAAGUAGGACAUAGUGAUCCGGUGGUUCUGUAUGGAAGGGCCAUCGCUCAACGGAUAAAAGGUACUCUGGGGAUAACAGGCUGAUACCGCCCAAGAGUUCAUAUCGACGGCGGUGUUUGGCACCUCGAUGUCGACUCAUCUCAUCCUGGGGCUGUAGCCGGUCCCAAGGGUAUGGCUGUUCGCCAUUUAAAGAGGUACGUGAGUUGGGUUUAAAACGUCGUGAGACAGUUUGGUCCCUAUCUGCCGUGGGCGUUGGAUAUUUGACGGAGCCUGCUCCUAGUACGAGAGGACCGGAGUGGACGUACCGCUGGUGUAUCGGUUGUCAUGCCAAUGGCAUUGCCGAGUAGCUACGUACGGAAGAGAUAACCGCUGAAGGCAUCUAAGCGGGAAACUCGUCUGAAGAUUAGAUAUCCCGGGGGCUUGACCCCCCUGUAGGGUCGUCCGAGACCAGGACGUUGAUAGGCUGGGUGUGGAAGUGCAGUAAUGCACGUAGCUAACCAGUACUAAUUGCCCGUGAGGCUUGAUCCU
rnacentral:rRNA from 1 species